GACUCAGUGGUCCAAUGGCAAAGCGUUCGCCCCAGAGCCAAAGGGUCCUGGCUUCGAUCCCCGAUGGAGUCG
rnacentral:tRNA from 1 species